CCUACGGGAGGCAGCAGUGGGGAAUAUUGGGCAAUGGGCGCAAGCCUGACCCAGCAACGCCGCGUGAUGGAAGAAGGCCUUCGGGUUGUAAACAUCUUUCAAGAGGGAAGAGCAUAAGACGUUACCUCUUGAAUAACCCCCGGCGAACCACGUGCCAGCAGCCGCGGGAAUACGUAGGUGACAAGCGUUGUCCGGAUUUAUGGGGUGUAAAGGGCGUGCAGCCGGGAAGACAAGUCCGUUGUGAAAUCCCGAGGCUCAACCGCGGAACUGCAUUUGAAACUGUUUUUCUUGAAUCCGGGAGAGGUCAACGGAAUUCCUGGUGUAGCGGUGAAAUGCGUAGAUAUAAGGAAGAACACCAGUGGCGUAGGCGGAUUACUGGGCGGCAACUGACGGUGAGGAACGAAAGCGUGGGGAGCAAACGGGAUUAGAUACCCGUGUAGUC
rnacentral:rRNA from 1 species